GAGGAUAGUGCCACAGAAAGAUACCGCCUUUUUACAGUCAACCGUGAACAGUCAAUCUUUUGAUAACUGAUAACUGAUAACUGAUAACUGAUAAGGGGUAAGGGUGCAAAGGUGUGGUAAGAGCGCACCAGCAACGUCGUGAGGCGUUGGCUCGGUAAACCCCGGUUGGGAGCAAGGUCGGAGGAACUAAGGUUGGUCUUUUUCCCGUUCCGCUCAAAAGUGGUACCGCUAGAGGUGUUUGGUAACAGACAUCCCAGAUAGAUAAUCGCCAUCCAAAGCUGAUUUCAGCCUGGAUAACAGAACC
rnacentral:RNase_P_RNA from 1 species